CCAAAGUGCUCGGAUUACGGGUGUGAGCCACCGCGCCCGGCCUAUGCAUUAUUAUUAUUAUUAUUAUUAUUAUUAUUAUUAUUAUUAUUAUUUAUUAUUAUUAUUAUUAUUAUUAUUAUUUCGUUUAAGGAUAUUUAUUAUUGUCCCUGGACUCCCGGAGUGCCUCCAAAGGACAGGGGAGUGCAUAUGUGAUUUCGAUUCCUUCCUCACUUCCCGGAUUUGAUGUCAGAGAAGUCUGACAUCAGUCUGAAGUCGGCCCUUGGUGGUCAGCCUUAUCGCUUGGUCCAACUCCGCUGUCUUUGUGCUUAAUGUAGUAUGAC
rnacentral:lncRNA from 10 species